AUCCUAAAGAUGAACGCUUCUCCCGCCUUGGUGAUGGUGAUAGUCUUAAUAGUAGGAAGGAUAUGCGGACAGUCGGUGACACAGAUGGGAGGCCAAGUGACCACCACAGAAGAGACUCUUCUGACCAUAAACUGCACUUAUACAGCCUCAGACUACUCUGAGUUUCUCUGGCAUGUCCAGUACCCUGGAAAAGGUCCGCAGCUCCUCCUAAAAGCUGUGAAAGCCAACCAAAGGGAAAUAAGCAAAGGCUUCGAAGCCAUCUAUGAUAAAGAAACCAGCUCCUUCCACUUGAAGAAAGCCUCAGUGCAGGAGUCAGACUUGGCUGUGUACUACUGUGCACUGAGUGACACAGUUCUAGGAACCUCAGGGGGAGCUGAGCACAGACUCUGA